UUGUGUUACAGCUCUUCUAGAAUUUGUCUAGCAGCUUUCCUGUUUUUACCAGAAAGCCCCC
ensembl:snRNA U7 U7 small nuclear RNA